UGGCUUGAGGAAGGGAGAGCCCCGCGGGGCGCCGCUGUGAUGUGAGGAUGGGGGACUCGGGUGGCGCGUGCGUCGCGCCUGGAGCCUGCGUGGUGGCGUCAUGGGCGGUGGCGGGUACCAUCCGCUCGGAUCGCGCGCGCGCACGUGGGCAGAUUGAAUUGCCCAACGGCGGCAACGUCUCUCCUCGAGCGUGGAGGGAAAGGAGGGGCGGGGCUGAGGCGGCAGGCGCAGGUGACCGUUAGAAGGGGGCGGGGCCCUGAGGCCAAGGUAGGCACGGGCGGCAGGUGAGGAUGGCCGUUAGAAAGGAGAUAGGGGGGUUCUCCAUCCCCCCUUAUCAGUUACCGACAGAAUGGAUUCAGACUGUGGACAGGAGGCGGCGAGGCCUCCCUGCCCAGGACGCCCGCUUAGCCCUCCUCCGCCUAGCAGCAGCAGCGCCUCACGGGCCCAAAAGAAGCCCUUCUCAUUUGCUGCUCCAGCCUGCAUGAGGCACGCCUGCAGAUUGCCAUCAUUCCAGCAGGGCCAGCCCAGCCGCCGCCGCCCCCCCCCUUCCCCGCCCCGCAAUGAGUUAAGAAGCAAGAUCACCCAAGAGGAGGAAGGGAAAGGAUCUGGAAGAAAACGCCAGCCUAAAGAAUUCUGCCCCGUGCACAGAAGGCUAUCAUGAACCACCUUUUCCUUGUUUGGUAGAGAGAUGAUCGCAGGAGGUGCCCACAAAUGCAGUGUCCUUCGGGACAGAAGACCUCAAAGAUGUGCUAGAAAUGUUUGUUCGAGGCUUUUGGCUGGAUCCUCAUCUUCAGAGCACUGAAAACGGUAGCCCUGGCUUUCACUGGCAUUCGCCUCUUGGUGUCAAGAAGCACAAUGGUGGGCCACUUGCCCAAUGGAAGGUGAUUUCUCUGCAUGGGUUGCUGCAAAGCUCGUCACCUUAGAACUGGUGCCAAGAAGUGUCUUUUCUCAGUUGAGUUUAGGGAGCCAGUAUUUGGCCCUUCACCCUAGGUUUCUGGGCUCCUACAGGCCCGUGUUAGACUGCAAGUGAACCAUCAUUUUUCUAGAAAACCACCUUCUACUGAGUCGACCAAUGGUCCAUCAAGUUCAGUAUUGUCUACACUGACUGGCAGCAGCUUGGAAAUUCCAGGGAUGGAACCUGAGACCUUCUGCAUGCAAAGCAGAUCCUCUGCAACUGAGCUACAGCCCUUCCUCUGGAGCAGCUCUUUCAGAAGUUCCAAACUAGCAUCAGCCCUGAUCCUGCCACAGUGUGGCAAUCAUUGUACACAUGUAUAAAAGCCAGAAGGAAAGAAGUCUAUUGAGUUUGCUUAUGUGGUGCGGGAAAUGACAAAAGAGACACAUGCUGACUUUGAAGAGGAGGGAAACACACGCCUUGACAAAAUUUAGAAAGGAACUUAGCAGUAGGAACAGAAAGAAACUUUAGUUCAGUUUAUUAUGAUCAUUGAUCAAAUAUACAUUCCAUAUCCAGAUAAAGGGAUCCUUAAAAGUGGGUGUUGAUACUGAUGUAUGUAUACACACACAGGAACUAUUCCAUACAGUUGAAAUAAAAUAGAAUAGAAUGAGAACAAUUAAAAACCUGUAUUAACCAUUUUGAACACACCAUGAGCGGAUCUUAAUUGCAGCCAUGCAGAAUUUGGCCACUAGAUGUGAGACAUCAGUGUGUUGAUCAGGAAGAAACAGGUUUAUAUAAGACUGGUCAGAGUUAUUUGGGUAUCUAAAAACGAGGAGCAAUAUAUCUAAAAUACAAAUCAUGAUCGAAGCAACAAUACAAAAGCACAUGGUCAGUGGUCUCAACAUCGCCAUUCCCACAAGGACACAGUCCGUCCGAAUAAGGGACUCUCCUAAACCUACCUUCAGAUACCAGAGAGGGCAGCACAUCCAGCCGGGCUAAUGGCAGGGCUCCUCUUUGUGGUGGAUAUGUCAGAUUAUACAGACUCUCCAGUGAACUAGCAGAAGUCUGGCCAAGCAGCCAGAGCAAGAACAGGAAUGUAACAACACGUGAGCAGGCCCAAGCAGGAAGGCUCCCAGCAGAGAAGAGGGGGCCAGGUAGAAGAGGCAGAGUUCAGAAGGAGAGACCUCGUUCCCAUGAUGCUAGGACAUAUUCUGAAUACCAGGUGCAGCCACAUCCCAUGGGGAUCUUCCUGCAGACAGGAUUCUGGGGUGUUGGGGGGCACCUGCCCCCACUGCUGCCUUGCCCACAGAUUGCCGCUGGAAGGUGGGCCAGUCUAUGGAUGUCUCAUGCCCACAAAGCCAUGGGACAGAUCAGACCAUGGCUCUUCCCAAUGCUGUGAGUGUUGGGAUCCUAGCGUUUAGUUCUGAGUAUCAUCAGUGGCACUAUUGGUGAAGAAAAGUCCUAAGGAACUGGAUCCGUCACCAGGACAAUGAGAAGAGGAGAGGCCUAGUGGAGGACUCCAGACAGAGGCCAGAUGUUGGUGUUUUUGGUAGUGUCCUGCAGACUCUGCUCUCUUGCCUCUGAAGUGAUGAGAGCCCCGUUGUUGGGUGGUGCCCUUCUGCUGCUGCCUCCUUUUUUCCAAGGGGUCACCACUAGAAGAUCAGCCGAUCUACGCAUGGCUUGCACCUGAAGCAAUGGCAUUUGGGAAGGAUCAGAUGGCUGCUCUUCCCAAGGGGUUGGCUUUGUGGGGCAGUGUGGUAGCCAUGGUUUGGCCACAGAGCUGGAGGCUAGUGGUGCACUAGUACUGCAAAAAAAUACCACAGUACUGCAAUGGAAACCAUUUCUUUAAGUGCUUACCUUCAAGCAUCAGCUGGUGGGGGUGCAUUCUUUGGACAGCCUGUUUCACCAUGGCAGGGGAGAGUUGGCAAGAUCUAGCAGAAGGACUCCAGCAGCCUGGAUGUUGUAUUGGGUGUGGUCCUUCCACCGCUGCUGCCUCGCACCCAAAGGGUCCCCACUGGAGGACCAGCCAGUCGGCAGAGGCCUCGCACCAGAAGAUACAGCCCUUGGGAAGGAGCAGGUGGUGGUCUCCCUCCCCAAAGGUGUGGCUUCGGGCGAGAGCGUGGUGGCGGUGGUCUGGCCAUAGGGCAAGAGGCGAGCGGUGGAUUCUCCCAGGAGGAAGGGUCUGGCUCUGCCUUGGGGACAGGGGCAUAUGGUACAUUAGGCAUGGGGAGACAGUCGUCUCCUGGCCCGCUGCCUCAAAGGGCCCCCCAAGAGUGAGGCCAGCCGUGCUGUGAGCGGCCCUGCACCAGCAGGCAGACACUUCGGGUGCGGAUGGGAAGGUCUUGCCUGUCCUUCCUUGCUUUGCUGCCGCCCCCACGACCUCUCUACGGCCAGUGCAACUUCCAGUAAAGAUCUGCUUGUAGCUAGCUGGGAACAGGACGUUCCCUGUUCCCAGCAUCCCGUGGGUGGCGACCUCACACUGCAGACGCCAUCUUGAGUGCCCAGGUGGAUUCUUCAAGGAGGAGGGGUCUGGCUCUGCCUUGGGGAGCCUCAGCACUUGAAUGGUCAGCGCUGGCAACAGGUCGAGCCUCUGGCAGUUGCCAGGAUGACAGGAGGGGCUUCAGCAGAGGUCGGCCCAUUGGGGUGAGGGCCUUCAUCCAGGGGUGGUUAAUUACAGAAUUCUGGGGAGGAACCGUCUCCCUGGGCAAGCUAGAAGGACAGUCCUGCCCCAGUGGGAAGAAGUCCUACCCAGGCUCCCCAAGGUCCAGGUUCCUCCGGGGGAUGGGCUGCAGUAAUUUGGCCCGCUCCACCGCAGCCUGCAGCCUCCUGUGGAGACUCCCAUCCUCCAAGUGGGGAAGGGGUUUCCCCCCAGAAGGCACACUCCCACCUGCUGCAUUGGCCACACGCUGAGUGGUCUUGAUCCUCUGCGGGAGGGCUUGUGGGCUGCCCUCCUGUGGUGGCUUCCCCUGGGUGCUGGUUGCUUCCUGGGGCAGCCUCUUGGUUCUUUUUGGAGACCUCACCCUUUCCGUUGACAGUCCAGCCACAGGGGCUGGGCCAUCAAGGGAAAGGGUGGAUUCCUGUGAGGCCUGGCUGGAACUGGCCUCAGGCACCAGCAGCUUCCGGACCACCGUGUGGUAGCUGGAGGUGAUGUGCCAGGUCUUCUGCCAGGUCUCUCCUCUUUAUUUGCUAUUUAUUUAUAGUCUUUUCUUGGGCCAGGCGCCUUCACCAUGGCAGUGAGAGUCGGAGAGACCUAGUGGAAAGACUCCAGCAGCGCAAAUGGUGUAUUAGGUGGGACCCUUCCACCGGAGGAUCAGGCCGUGGGCGGAGGCCUCGCACCACAAGACACGACCCUAGAGGAGGAGCAGGUGGUGGUCUCUCUCCCCCAGGGCAUGUCGGCGGUGAAUGGGCCACAGAGCCGGAGGGGAGCGGCGGAGUCCCCCAGGAGGAAGGGUCUGGCUCUGACUUGUGGAGCCUCAGCGCUUGAAUAGUUAGCGCUGGCAACAGGUCAAGCCUCUGGCGGGUGCCAGGAUGAUGGUAAGGGCUUCAGCAGAGGCCAGCCCAUCGCGGUCAGGGCCUUCUUCCGGGGGUGGUUUUUUAAAGAAGUCUGGGGAGGAACCGUCUCCCCGGACAAGCCAGAAGGAUGGCCCUUCCCCAGUGGGAAGAAGUCCUUCCCAGGCUCCCCAAGGUCCAGGUUCCUCCUGGGGAUGGGCUGGAGUAUUUUUGCCCGCUCCACCGCAGCCUCCAGCUUCCUUCUGUGGAGUCUCCCUUACCCAAUGUGCAAAAGUGUUUCCCCUAGAAGGCACACUCCCACCUGGUGCUUUGGCCACACGCCAAGCAGCCUUUUCUCUUCCACAGGAGGGCUGGUGGCUUGCCCUUAGAGCUGGUUUCUUCCUGGGGAUACCACUUUGACCUUUGGGCAGGCUUUGCCAUUUUGACCAUUUCUGUCUUGUCUGCCCACAGGGGCUGGGCCAUCAAAGGAAAGGGUGGAUUCCUGUGAGGCCUGGCUGGAACUGGCCCCAGGCACCAGAGGAGGCAGCAGCAACUUCCGGACCACUGUGUGGUUGCUGGAGGUGAUGUGCCAGGUCUUCUGCCAGGUGUCUCCUCUUUAUUUGCUAUUUAUUUGUAGUCUUUUCUUGGGCCAGGCGCCUUCACCAUGGCAGUGAGAGUCGGAGAGACCUAGUGGAAAGACUCCAGCAGCGCAAAUGGUGUAUUAGGUGGGACCCUUCCACCGGAGGAUCAGGCCGUGGGCGGAGGCCUCGCACCACAAGACACGACCCUAGAGGAGGAGCAGGUGGUGGUCUCUCUCCCCCAGGGCGUGCCUUUGGGCGGGGGUGUGGUGGCGAUGGACGGGCCACAGAGCUGGAGGGGAGCGGCGGAUUCCCCGAGGAGGAAGGGUCUGGCUCUGCCUUGGGGAGCCUCAGCGCUUGGAUAGAUAGUGCUGGCAACGGGUCGGGCCUCUGCCGAGCCUCUGGCGGUUGCCAGGAUGAUGGUAAGGGCUUCAGCAGAGGCCAGCCCAUUGGGGUCAGGGCGUUCAUCCUGGGGUGGUUCUUUAAAGAAGUCUGGGGAGGAACCGUCUCCCCGGACAAGCCAGAAGGACGGCCCUUCCCCAGUGGGAAGAAGUCCUUCCCAGGCUCCCCAAGGUCCAGGCUCCUCCUGGGGAUGGGCUGGAGUAUUUUUGCCCGCUCCACCGCAGCCUCCAGCUUCCUUCUGUGGAGUCUCCCUUACCCAAUGUGCAAAAGUGUUUCCCCCUAGAAGGCACGCUCCCACCUGGUGCUUUGGCCACACACCAAGCAGCCUUUUCUCUUCCACAGGAGGGCUGGUGGCUUGCCCUUAGAGCUGGUUUCUUCCUGGGGAUACCACUUUGACCUUUGGGCAGGCUUCAUCAUUUCUGCCAUUUCUGUCUUUGCCUACAGGGGCUGGGCCAUCAAGGGAAAGGGUGGUUUCCUGUGAGACCUGGCUGGCACUGGCCCCAGGCACCAGAGGAGGCAGCAGCAACUUCCGGACCACUGUGUGGUUGCUGGAGGUGAUGUGCCAGGUCUUCUGCCAGGUGUCUCCUCUUUAUUUGCUGUUUAUUUGUAGUCUUUUCUUGGGCCAGGCGCCUUCACCAUGGCAGUGAGAGUCGGAGAGACCUAGUGGAAAGAUUCCAGCAGCGCAAAUGGUGUAUUAGGUGGGACCCUUCCACCGGAGGAUCAGGCUGAGGGCGAGGCCUCUCACCACAAGACACGACCCUAGAGGAGGAGCAGGUGGUGGUCUCUCUCCCCCAGGGCGUGCCUUUGGGCGGGGGUGUGGUGGCGAUGGACGGGCCACAGAGCUGGAGGGGAGCGGCGGAUUCCCCGAGGAGGAAGGGUCUGGCUCUGCCUUGGGGAGCCUCAGCGCUUGGAUAGAUAGCGCUGGCAACGGGUCGGGCCUCUGCCGAGCCUCUGGCGGUUGCCAGGAUGAUGGUAAGGGCUUCAGCAGAGGCCGGCCCAUUGGGGUCAGGGCGUUCAUCCUGGGGUGGUUCUUUAAAGAAGUCUGGGGAGGAACCGUCUCCCCGGACAAGCCAGAAGGACGGCCCUUCCCCAGUGGGAAGAAGUCCUUCCCAGGCUCCCCAAGGUCCAGGCUCCUCCUGGGGAUGGGCUGGAGUAUUUUUGCCCGCUCCACCGCAGCCUCCAGCUUCCUUCUGUGGAGUCUCCCUUACCCAAUGUGCAAAAGUGUUUCCCCCUAGAAGGCACGCUCCCACCUGGUGCUUUGGCCACACACCAAGCAGCCUUUUCUCUUCCACAGGAGGGCUGGUGGCUUGCCCUUAGAGCUGGUUUCUUCCUGGGGAUACCACUUUGACCAGGCUUCAUCAUUUCUGCCAUUUCUGUCUUUGCCUACAGGGGCUGGGCCAUCAAGGGAAAGGGUGGUUUCCUGUGAGACCUGGCUGGCACUGGCCCCAGGCACCAGAGGAGGCAGCAGCAACUUCCGGACCACCGUGUGGCUGCUGGAGGUGAUGGGCCUCCUUCCGCCAGAUCUCUCUUCCUCUGCUCCUGAAUAGAAAGAAAAUUUCAUUUUUAUUCAUUUCAGGGUCUGUCUCUGCCUUGCAGGGGGGGCACGUGUCCCAGCACUUGGAUGGUCAGCGCUGGGAAAGGGUCGAACCUCUGCUGUGCCGAUGGCAGUUGCCAAGAUAAUGGCAGUGGCUUCAGCAAGGGUUGUCCCAUUGCGGUCAGGGCCUUCUUCUGGGGGUGGUUAGUUAAAGAAGUCUGGGGAGGAACUGUCUCCCCGGACAAGCCAGAAGGACUGUGCUCCCCCAGUGAGAAGAAGUCCCGCCCAGGCUCUCCAAGAUCCAGGUUCCUCCUGGGGGUGGGCUACAAUAAUUUGGCCCGCUCCACCUCAAUCUCCAGCUUCCUUCUGUGUAUUUGUCUUUCCCUCCUCCAGGUGGGGACGGGUUUCCCCCCCAGGUGGAACACUCCCACCUGGUGGUUUGCGCGUGGCCUUGAUCUUCCCCAGGAGGGCUGGCCCAAGGCGAGGCAGCAGCAGGUUCUGGACCACCAUUUGGCUGCUAAAGGCAAUGGGCUUCCUUCCACCUGAUCUUUCUUCCUCUGCACCUGAAUAGAAAUUUUAUUAUUAUUAUUUCUAGCUCUAUGGCUCAGGUGGAGAAGGGUUUCCCCCAGAAGGCACGCUCCCAUCUAAUUUUUUAAAAAAAUUAUUUAUUUAAAAUAUUUAUACCCCUCCCCUCCAGUGCACUACUGCUUGGGGCGGCUUACAACAAUAAGAUAGACACAAGAUACAAGUAAUAAAACUAAUUUUUUAAUUAAAAAAAUAAAGUCAGAUUAAAAACAAUUAUUAAGAUUAAAUUAAAACUGAAAAUUAUAAAAAGCUAAAGAACCUGCCAGAUAUAACAAAACAAAAAUGGAGCAUUAAAAAGCCUCCUUUAAAAGGUGUGUUUUGUCUUUUAAAAACACUAAGGGAGGGAGCAUGGUGGUUUUUUUGGUCAAAGACCGUAAAUAAAGUAUGAUGAUGAUGGUGAAGCUCAUCAGGGAGGGCAUUCCAAAGCCGAGGGGCCACAACCUAAAAAGCAACAGACGGGUCAUGAGCAGGGCCUGAGAUGAUGAGCAGAGGGCCCUGGCAGAUGCAUAUGGGCGAAUGUGGUCCGACACAAUGUCUUGGCCACACACUGAGCAGCCUAAAUCUUUCGGGGGGGGGGGGGGGGGGCUGGUGGGCUGCUCUCCUGAUGCAGUUCCCCCCUGGUGCCUUCUGCCUGGGGCUGCCUCUUUGACUUCACCCUUUCCAUUGAUGGUCCAUUAACAGGGGUUGGGCCAUUAAGGGAAAAGGUGAAUUCAAGUGAGGCCUAGCUGGUACUGGCCCCAGGAGGCAGCAGCAGCUUCCAGACUACUGUGUGGUUGCUGGAGGUGAUGUGCCAGGUCUUCUGCCCACUCUCUCCUCCUCUGCUCCUGAUAAGAAAGAAAUCUUGUUUUUAUUUAUUUCACACCUGUAUAUGGGGCCAAAAUUCACAUCACAUGGUGGUUUACUUUUCCUCUUCAAAUCUGUUUGGACAAAAGCAAGUCUCGGAAUUGUAUUCAAAUGCAGGACGGUAGACAGCAAGAUGAUUUUGUGUUGAAUUGGGGUCUUUUUAUUAAUUCCAUUAACUUCUAGAAUAAGAACAAAUAUGCAAUCUUUUAUUUGUUGUAAUUCUGGUGUAGCUAACUAAUGGUGCAGUGGGAAAAUGACUUUGACUAGCAAGCCAGAGGUUGCCGGUUUGAAUUGCUUCUGGUAUGUUUCUCAGACUAUGGGAAACACCUAUAUCGGGCAGCAGUGAUAUAGGAAGAUGCUGAAAGGCAUCAUCUCAGACUGCUUGGGAGAAGACAAUGGUAAACCCCUCCUGUAUUCUGCCAAAGACAACCACAUGGCUCUGGAGUCACCAGGAGUCAACACUGACUCAACGGCACACUUUAACUUCAAUACUGGUGUAGAACUGUAUUCCACCCCGCCCCCGUCUUGGCUAAUGGAAUAUAUUUGUUCUUGACUAAUGACAAAUACUUCUGUUUGUAUUUGUGAGAAAAUAAAAAGAUGGUAAAAUAA